rnacentral:sRNA from 1 species
AUAUUAAAUUUUUUUACCUGAAAUGACUGAGGUAGAGUCGAUAUAGGUAGAAUCAAAGUAACUGAAGGUACCGAGAAAAAGUUCAUUAGGGUCACCAACCGCCUUAAUCGUAACGGGGUCAACGUGUUUUGAGAUACCAUAAUUUUCGGUAUCCCAAUACACAACGUUUUUGGCAAGUGUGUAAAAGGUAUCCUUUUUUGCAAGUGCGUAACAACUAUCCUCUUCAAACGGUAGAAUUACAAACUAACUAAAAUAAUUUACCUUGUAAUUCAGUAGAGUAAAUUUUACAAAUUCUU